UAAUUUUUGCACAAGUAAAAAAAAAGAGAAAAUGAUUAUGGUCGUUUCAGCAAAGAAGACGAUUGGAAGAUGAAGAAAAUUUUUUAGGGAAGAAGAAGAAGAAAAGAAUGAAAACAAGAUAAAAAAGAAGAUGAAGUUGAAGAUAAAGAAGAAGAAUGAAAAACGAGACAAAGAAGAAGAUGAAGCUGAAGAUGAAGAAGAAGGCAAAAAGAGAACAAUAAGAAGAAGCACAAGAAGAAGAAGAUGAAAAGAGAUGAGCUGUAAUUUUUUUAUGUUUUAUUUUAUUCUAGAUCUAUAUUGUUUUUAUCUAGACGUUCAAAAACCUAAUUAGAAUCAUUUGUUUUCAUAUUUGUUUACAUCAUUGGAAGAAAGAAGAUUGAAUUGUAUUCUCUUGCUCUAUAUAUUGUAAAUGCUAACUCAAAUCCAAGGCUGAAAAU
rnacentral:lncRNA from 1 species